rnacentral:misc_RNA from 1 species
GAUGAAGAACGCAGUGAAAUGCGAUAAGUAAUGUGAAUUGCAGAAUUCAGUGAAUCAUCGAAUCUUUGAACGCACCUUGCACCCUUUGGCAUUCCGAAGGGUAUGCUCGUUUGAGUGUCAUUGUACUCUCACACUCUCCGAUCCUAUGGAUUCGGGGAGCGGUGGACUUGGGUGUUGCUGCCUUUCCUUGUGGCUCACCUCAAAUGUGUCAGUGCACCUCUUGGUUGGACAUAGUACGGCGUGAUAAGUGUCUUCGCCGGCACCUCGCAAGAGGGUGGCCGAUCGGGAGCUCUGUGCUUUCAAACCGUCUUCGGACAAUUUCUGACAACUUGACCUCAAAUCGAGUAGGACUACCCGCUGAACUUAAGCAGAUCAAUAAGCGGAGGA